UAUGAACGCUAGCUACAGGCUUAACACAUGCAAGUCGAGGGGCAUCAGGAAGAAAGCUUGCUUUCUUUGCUGGCGACCGGCGCACGGGUGAGUAACACGUAUCCAACCUGCCCUUUACUCGGGGAUAGCCUUUCGAAAGAAAGAUUAAUACCCGAUAGCAUAAUGAUUCCGCAUGGUUUCAUUAUUAAAGGAUUCCGGUAAAGGAUGGGGAUGCGUUCCAUUAGGUUGUUGGUGAGGUAACGGCCCACCAAGCCUUCGAUGGAUAGGGGUUCUGAGAGAAAGGUCCCCCACAUUGGAACUGAGACACGGUCCAAACUCCUACGGGAGGCAGCAGUGAGGAGUAUUGGUCAAUGGGCGCUAGCCUGAACCAGCCAAGUAGCGUGAAGGAUGAAGGCUCUAUGGGUCGUAAACUUCUUUUAUAUAAGAAUAAAGUGCAGUAUGUAUACUGUUUUGUAUGUAUUAUAUGAAUAAGGAUCGGCUAACUCCGUGCCAGCAGCCGCGGUAAUACGGAGGAUCCGAGCGUUAUCCGGAUUUAUUGGGUUUAAAGGGAGCGUAGGUGGACUGGUAAGUCAGUUGUGAAAGUUUGCGGCUCAACCGUAAAAUUGCAGUUGAUACUGUCAGUCUUGAGUACAGUAGAGGUGGGCGGAAUUCGUGGUGUAGCGGUGAAAUGCUUAGAUAUCACGAAGAACUCCGAUUGCGAAGGCAGCUCACUGGACUGCAACUGACACUGAUGCUCGAAAGUGUGGGUAUCAAACAGGAUUAGAUACCCUGGUAGUCCACACAGUAAACGAUGAAUACUCGCUGUUUGCGAUAUACAGUAAGCGGCCAAGCGAAAGCAUUAAGUAUUCCACCUGGGGAGUACGCCGGCAACGGUGAAACUCAAAGGAAUUGACGGGGGCCCGCACAAGCGGAGGAACAUGUGGUUUAAUUCGAUGAUACGCGAGGAACCUUACCCGGGCUUAAAUUGCAGUGGAAUGAUGUGGAAACAUGUCAGUGAGCAAUCACCGCUGUGAAGGUGCUGCAUGGUUGUCGUCAGCUCGUGCCGUGAGGUGUCGGCUUAAGUGCCAUAACGAGCGCAACCCUUAUCUUUAGUUACUAACAGGUUAUGCUGAGGACUCUAGAGAGACUGCCGUCGUAAGAUGUGAGGAAGGUGGGGAUGACGUCAAAUCAGCACGGCCCUUACGUCCGGGGCUACACACGUGUUACAAUGGGGGGGUACAGAAGGCAGCUAGCGGGUGACCGUAUGCUAAUCCCAAAAUCCUCUCUCAGUUCGGAUCGAAGUCUGCAACCCGACUUCGUGAAGCUGGAUUCGCUAGUAAUCGCGCAUCAGCCACGGCGCGGUGAAUACGUUCCCGGGCCUUGUACACACCGCCCGUCAAGCCAUGGGAGCCGGGGGUACCUGAAGUACGUAACCGCAAGGAUCGUCCUAGGGUA
rnacentral:rRNA from 1 species